GACGAACGCUGGCGGCGUGCUUAACACAUGCAAGUCGAGCGGAGCGGCGAACGGGUGAGUAACGCGUGAGUAACUGCCCCCCUCUCUGGGAUAACAGUUGGAAACGGCUGCUAAUACCGGAUAGUGGGGGAUGACUCGCGUCCUAUCAGCCUGUUGGUGGGGUAGUGGCCUACCAAGGCGACGACGGGUAGCCGGCCUGAGAGGGCGACCAGCCACAGUGGGCUGAGAGACGGGCAAAACGCCUACGGGAAGCAGCAGUGGGGAUUAAUGCACGAUGGGGGAACCCCUGAUGCAGCAACGUCGCGUGCGGGAUGACGGCCUUCGGGUGGUAAACCGCUUUCAGCCAUGACGCGGUAGUGGCAGAAGAAGCACCGGCUAACUACGUGCCAGCCGCCGCGGUAAUAC
rnacentral:rRNA from 1 species